CUAAACCUAGUGGAGAGUUGCCACCGGAUCCCAUAAGAACUCCGGAGUUAAGCGUGCUCCGGGGGAGCAGUCCUAAAUGGGUGACCUCCUAAAAGUCCCCGGGUACGUUGCAAACGCUUGCCUUGCACCUGCUGAAAGGCAUUGCUGCUAAUCGU
rnacentral:rRNA from 1 species